UGGACCAAUGAUGAGAAUGAGUUGGGAACCAAGGAUUAUGAUUAAUCCAAUGCUGUGCACCUGAGGUCCAAA